rnacentral:rRNA from 1 species
UUUCGAGCUCCGGGCUCGACUCUCCCACCCUUUGUGAACGUACCUCUGUUGCUUUGGCGGCUCCGGCCGCCAAAGGACCUUCAAACUCCAGUCAGUAAACGCAGACGUCUGAUAAACAAGUUAAUAAACUAAAACUUUCAACAACGGAUCUCUUGGUUCUGGCAUCGAUGAAGAACGCAGCGAAAUGCGAUAAGUAAUGUGAAUUGCAGAAUUCAGUGAAUCAUCGAAUCUUUGAACGCACAUUGCGCCCCUUGGUAUUCCGGGGGGCAUGCCUGUUCGAGCGUCAUUACAACCCUCAAGCUCUGCUUGGAAUUGGGCACCGUCCUCACUGCGGACGCGCCUCAAAGACCUCGGCGGUGGCUGUUCAGCCCUCAAGCGUAGUAGAAUACACCUCGCUUUGGAGCGGUUGGCGUCGCCCGCCGGACGAACCUUCUGAACUUUUCUCAAGGUUGACCUCGGAUCAGGUAGGGAUACCCGCUGAACUUAAGCAUAUCAAUAGCCGGAGGAAAA